CGUAGGGUGCAAGCGUUAAUCGGAAUUACUGGGCGUAAAGCGUGCGCAGGCGGUGAUGUAAGACAGUUGUGAAAUCCCCGGGCUCAACCUGGGAACUGCAUCUGUGACUGCAUCGCUGGAGUGCGGCAGAGGGGGAUGGAAUUCCGCGUGUAGCAGUGAAAUGCGUAGAUAUGCGGAGGAACACCGAUGGCGAAGGCAAUCCCCUGGGCCUGCACUGACGCUCAUGCACGAAAGCGUGGGGAGCAAACAGGAUUAGAUACCCUGGUAGUCCACGCCCUAAACGAUGUCAACUGGUUGUUGGGAAUUCACUUUCUCAGUAACGAAGCUAACGCGUGAAGUUGACCGCCUGGGGAGUACGGCCGCAAGGUUG
rnacentral:rRNA from 1 species